rnacentral:rRNA from 1 species
GACGAACGCUGGCGGCGUGCUUAACACAUGCAAGUCGAACGGAAAGGCCCUGCUUUUGUGGGGUGCUCGAGUGGCGAACGGGUGAGUAACACGUGAGUAACCUGCCCUUGACUUUGGGAUAACUUCAGGAAACUGGGGCUAAUACCGGAUAGGAGCUCCUGCUGCAUGGUGGGGGUUGGAAAGUUUCGGCGGUUGGGGAUGGACUCGCGGCUUAUCAGCUUGUUGGUGGGGUAGUGGCUUACCAAGGCUUUGACGGGUAGCCGGCCUGAGAGGGUGACCGGCAAAAUUGGAACUGGGAUCCGGCCAGGAUUCCAACGGGGGGAAGCGGGGGGAAAAAUUGCACAAUGGGCGGAGGCCUGAUGAAGCAACCCGCGUGCGGGAUGACGGCCUUCGGGUUGUAAACCGCUUUCGCCUGUGACGAAGCGUGAGUGACGGUAAUGGGUAAAGAAGCACCGGCUAACUACGUG